UGGUGUAGCCAGCUGCAGUAGCUCCAAUCCGACCCCUAGCCUGAGAACCUCCAUAUGCCUUGGGUGCGGCCCUAAAAAGCAAAAAACAUAACAAAACAAAAAACAAAAAAAAAUCACAAACAAAAAACUCGUGAUGAUUUAGGUCUUACUCUCUUAGCAAAUGUUACACAAUACAGUGUUAUCAACUGUAGUCAUCAUUUAUAGAUUACAGUGUCAGACUUUAUCUUAUAAAGGUGCGCGUACCCUUCUAUCAUCUUCUCUCAGUUUCCUCCACCACCCCCAGCCCAGCUCCUGACAACCACUUCUCUACCCUCUGUCUCUAGACGUCUGACUUUUCUUUUUCCUUUUUGUGUAAAGUUCAUCUGUAAGUGAUACCAUGCAGUAUUUUUCUUUAUCCAGCUUAUUGCACUUGGCCUCAUGCCCUCUAGGUCCAUCUAUUUUGUUGCAAAUGGCAGAAUUUCCCUCCUUCUCAUGGCUGCAUAAUAUUCUAUUACAUGUACGUGUAUCUACAUUUAUCGCAUCUUCUUUACCCGUUUACCCAUUGGCAGACACUAGGUGUUUUCAUGCCUUGGCUAUUGUGGAUACUUCUGCAGUGAAUAUGGGAAUACAGGUAUCUCUUCAAGAGCCCCUGAGUAGUUCCCGCAUGUGAUUUUAGAAUACCCAGGAUGCUGGCUUUUGGUGGGAGGUUGUGGAUAAGCACCGCAGCUCCUUGGCCUAGGAGUCACCCGCCCUCAAUGACUGUGCUGCUUCAAAGCAAAGUUAACUUGGCACAGAAACCUCUGGCCACCCAAAGUCAUUCUUCAUUCAGCUGAGAUAACUAUCAAAACCCCUGUUAAUUGCCAACAUUGUCCUAGACACUUGGGGUACAUCAAUAAAAAUAAGUCCUACUCUUGUAGAACUUAUAUUCGAGAAAGGGGGCAUAAAAUGAACAAUAAGGAUAAGGAAUGAUGGUAUGUUAGCAGACAGGCCUAUGUAAACAGAGAAAUAGAACAGGGCAAGGGAGUCGGGACACAGGUUGCUGUUCAUUGAGACAGCGCCACUGGAGCACAGAGGUGAAGGUUGUGAAGGGUAAGCCACGUGGGUGCCCAUGAGGAGAGUUCCAAGGAGAAGAAACAGCCAGUCCAAAAGCCUUAAGGAAGAGCCAGGAGCAACAUGAUGGAAUAGAAGGAUGAUAAAGUCAGGGGGGCAGGCAGAAUGGAGCAAGGUUGCCCAUCUUCGUGACUUGACUCGGUUCCCUUCUAACUCAAGAACCUGUUAGCCACCUUCAGUGCCCUUCUGCCCAGUUGUUCACCCAAGCUUCACAGUGCAGCCUGAUUACCAGAUCCAUUAUGUGCCAAGAACUGAGCUGGAAAGUGAAAGUACUCCCCUGUCUGAAGCCAGGUGACCAUGGUAGCACUUCCCAUUCCACACUAGUUUGGAUUACAGUGACAGUGUUUGCAGGUGUAAUACGUACUCCGAGGACAAAUUUCCCUACCUGCCAGCUGUUUGAAGACCUGUGUGACUUAAGGCCCUCUCUCAGCUCACACUUAGGUUCAGUUUUAUCAUGUAACACAAAACAUAAUUCCGUGAUUAUUGGAGGAAAAAAUAGAUACUACAGUCUCCUGAAGGCGCUGCACUUUCAGAAAAAGCCAGGACCGUCUCUAUUCUCUCUUAAACCCACUCAGUUCCUUUCUUGCUUUUAGAUAAAACCCUGGGUGGAUCCCAGAGCUUUGCGGGUCACUGUCAGGCAUUAGAGUUAAAUCCAAAUUCUAGGGAGAGAUGUUUGAAGUACUGAAAGUCCAAGAUUUUUAAAAUCCAUACAUAAAACCCAUUCAGUGGGUCUGGCACUGUUUCUUUGUUCUGUUGCAUAUCUGGAAGUUGCAUUAUUGGGUUUUUCAUAAUGUUUUGACUUUUCUUAGAAAGAUUCAUUUUGUGAAACCACUUUGAGAAUAAAUAUUUUUAUUUUUAUGACUCAUUCUCAGAAGAAUGAAAAAUACUUUGCAGUUUCCUAAAAAUCCCAUUUACUCGAUAAGUUGUAAUUAAGAAGGUCCUGCUGUAGCAUCAGAAAUGAGAAAGAAGCAUAUGAGGCCCAGGACUUGCUCAGCACUAAUGAACCAGAGCUGGCCUGGGUCAAAGCAGGACCAAUGAAAUUUCUGGAUUCCUAAUUGGAAGCUAUCUCAGGAAAUUAACUUACAUUUGAAUAAGAUUUGUGAAUCCUCAAAGCUUGAGAAAAAAUACACAAUUGUGGCAGAGUUCUUUUUUUCAAAAGGACCAACUCUAUGACAAAAAUUUCCAAAUUUCUGAAAAAAGUUAAAGUGGAAUCACCUUGGUAUUAUAUUGUAUGGUGAAUUUUACUGUAUUACUGCCCACAAAUUUUUGUUGGGAGCGUGACAUGCAUCUAACCAAGUCAGCCACGUGACUAGAGUCAGUGAAAGCUGGUCACUGCUACUGCCUAAUAACCCAGGAGUGGUCAUAAAGCCAGACCGGCUCUUGGUUUUCUAAAUCCCUGGAAAAUGCAUUGCUUUAAUUAGCAGACACUAACUUGAGUGACUCCCCUAGAGACUCCCAAUUAACUGAGCUUCUGGACCAGCGUCAUUAGUAACUUCUCUCUUAUUCGUUCAUACAUCACACGCACACAUACACACCCACAUGAAAUCAACAGACAUUCUCAACACUUCAUCACUCGAAAACCCAACCCAAAUGAAUAUUUUCCGAUAGUAAAACAAGAAAGAAUGAAACGAAUGCGGUUUAUUAAGCAAGUAAUCUGGGAAGCAGCACACCGCACAAUUGCUCACCAGCUCACCAGAUUAUAUCGCCUGCUGUGUUCAGUCACUUCUAUUUAAACUUCUAACCAGAUGAACUCACCAUGCCCCCUACUGCUUAGGAGUGAUACUACCACCAUGUAGUGGUGCGCUCCAGAGUUAUUCCCGGCCAUAUGCUGUCGUUCAGAAAGCUUGUUGAACAACGUUGUUUGUCUCCCCUUGGUCACCAAUGCCAGGAUAAAGCGUGGAGUCAUGCUGGCAGGAGAAGUUGCCUCCAGUCGGCAACGACAAACAAGUUCCUUAUUACUGACCCUACCAUCUGUCCCAGUUUCCACGUGCCACCCUCACAUAGGAACAGGUUUCAGCCAGGCCACAUUCAGUGAGCAGCCAGCAUCCACCAGUAGGGUCCGCUUGAAUGUUCAGAUUGCAUCUGUGCUUAGUUCCAUACCUCACUAACCUCCUUCAUCCGGGUUGAAAAGUGGUUGAUGGAGGCUGAAAAAAAAAAUCUCUGGAGAGUUCUUCUGCCAAUAAGACAUGGGUUCACUCACUUCUUGGAUCAGGGAUGGGUACUUAGUGGAGCCAUUAGGCUCUUUGUGGGAAAGGCAAGAUGUAGGUGGCCCCUCCUUUAGGUUAAAAUGUGCACCUACCAAGACCACGCUGCUUGUAGGCAGUGCGUGUGAAAGGAGUGCUGCCUGGUGCAUGAACUGUUAGACCUUUAAAAAUUGUAUAAAAUAGCCAGACACAUGCCCAAGAUGAAGUCAUUUCCUAAAGGCUCAUUUUAUAAAGAGGUAGAUGAUCCUACAUGCUCUGCCAUUGUAGUCUCAAUAUAAAUCAGUUUAUCCCUGCUUGCAGCAUAUCUUGGAUGCUCAAAAUAUCACAUUUGGUGACAAGGAUUAAAAAAAGCAGUGCUCUCAAACCAGCACUACUAAAGUAAGUGCGCCAAGAGCAUGUUAUGGAGACACUGACAGAGAUACAGAGCAGGCAGAAUGUCUACAGAGGAGCGUGGUGAGAGAAAUUGUCUUCUCCUGUUAAUGCCAUUACGAGGAAAGCUUAGGGAAAAGGUGUUCUAUUAAGUGUUUGUGUUAUUUAAAACUCCUCUUCCAUCUGGAAUCUAACGCUACAAAAUGUAGCAAACGGUCAAGCUUCAGGAGAGAUGAUAUACUUGGAAGGGCUGAUAGCACCCCAAGUAUCGGCCAUUGUACAGUGAUGUAAGAUCUAGCAACCACAUCAAACCCCAAGCUAACUCAAUAGGACUGUUUUCAGCCUCUCCAAGAGGGAUGACCAAGGGUGCUGAAAGCAUUGUGGGGUUGUGUGGCAUGGCAUUAGCUGGGACCCUGCAUCCAGGAGAGUCAGCUCUGGGAAGACACAGCCCUCUCAGCCUUUUCAGAUGGCCCUUUAUUCCCCGGCCAUGCAAGUCUCUCACGCACUCCACGGUACCAUGACACCAAUAGCUGAACAGAAAAUCUGGUUCAAAUUGAACUACUUCCUUGGCACCUGCCAUAUUAUUCCUUAGGCUUCAUCGGCAAAAUUAACAGGUGAUCACCUUUGGCAAAUCUCACAGUUAUGGAGUGAAGAGCUUUGUUAGCUAAGAGUUCCUCUGAUUUGUGUGCCUUUUAACUAUUAGGGUGUUAGCGGUCCAUUUUAACUUUUCUUCCUGGACCAAGACUGUGUAGCACGCUACCCUUUACUGGUGCGGGAGAUGGCAUCAACAAAGAAAGAAUCCAUUCUUCUCACAAACCUGCAUUCCCACACUCUUCCCAGGUCCCCUUAUCACACACCUUCUUUGCAUUGACAUUAUUUGGGGGGAAAAUCAGACUAUUCCUCCCCAAUUUGUCCAAGUACUUGGUGUUUUUCUUGAAUUUCUACACUAUUUGUGACUUUUUAGUCAUGCAGUGCUGAGUGCGAAUUCCCGUUCAGUGGGAAAAGGCCUAAAUGGGUAGGGAUUAAGAAUUCUGUUAGAGGAAGGUUAGCGUAGCCCAGUCUGACUUGGGAAAAAUAUCUCUACACAUCGACAAAGGAAAGCCUGUGUAGUUAUGGGUUCGUGAGGCAGUACAGCGAUGAGUACAGUAAUGAGUCAGGGAGGGCUCAGCGGAAUCUUGAACUAAGCCUAGGGCCUGCUGCUCAUUUUCUCGUCUGUAAAAUGGGAAUAAUAAUACUUACGUCAAAGGUAAUUGUGGAGGUCGUAUGAUAUAAUGACACAAGUUUAACAGGGCCUGGCACAGUAAGCGCUCAGGAUUUUGUUAUUUGUGUCAUGAUUCCAAGCACUUUUAAAGCUUAGAGUUUUAUGAAUGGAGAUUCUAAUUGGGUCAUGCUUGAUUUCAAACCUCAAUAUUUAUGCACGUCAUUCUUAUUGUAUAGAUGCAGAAAGUAAGUAAAUGGAUUGGCCUCAGAUGGCUCGACUGGAAAAUGAGAAGCCUUAAUUCCAGUCUUGUUACCUCUGCAAAUGAUAGAAACUCACUCCCUGGGUCUUGCUUCUCUAAUCUCUGAAAUGUAGGAACUGGACUCUCUCACAGUCACUUCCGAUUUAAAGAAGGAUGAUCCUGGAUAUACUCUCCGUUAAAUAUAGAAAAUAACCACCGUCCAUUGUGGGGUAAUUUGAAAGUAACUGAAAGCCUCUCUCAGCUCAAUAUUUCUGCUGUUAACCCAUCAUCUUUUAAUAAAAAUCUCUCAUUAAAAAUUCUCUCUAGAUAUCCUCUUUUAAAAGACACCUAUCAAUCAAUCAUGCUAGUCAUUGGGUACCUAUAAGUGAAGGGUAUAGAAGGCAUAAAACAAGAAAUGCUGUCCUGCUGUAGGACCUUGGAAUUUACUUGGAAAAAAAAUCACCCCACCGUUUUUUAAAGAUCAACAUGUAAUAAGGGUCAGAUGAGGAACAGAGAUAAUACAUAUUUGCACUCGUGUACUUAAACGCUUUUUAAAUCAUCUUACAGAUUUAAAAUCUUUAAGACAAUACAAUUUUUAAAAAAUGUAAGAGUGAUCAGGAAUCAUUUAGGAAGUAAGCACUUAUAUCAAAAACCAAAAAUAAGCUGUACUCUCAAACCAGGACACCAAGUUUAGCUCUAAACUUAAUGGUAGACAAGAAGCUAAAGAAGCUCAUAGGCUUUACAGUGCUUGAUGAAAGAGGAUGUCUCGGUCUGUCUUAAGAGACAUUUUGUUCUUGGCAGCCGCUAAAUCCUGCGAAACUUUGUUACAUGGAUCCAUAUUUAAGAAACAUUCCUUGCUGUAAUGUACCAUACCUAAAACUGCUGUUUUGUGGAGAUGUGAAAAAUGUCCUUCAAAUACCUAUACCACAUCAAGUCCUAAUGGAAGCUAAGGAUUAGCUAAGUCAACUCUGUAGAUGUAUGUAUGAGUAGAGCUAAACUAAUCAACCUUAGGAUUAUUGCUUCAUGGUGACCACACUUAACGCUUAGAGAAACCCAGGAAAAUGGUAGAUUACGCUGCCCUUUAAGCUGAUUUUUUAAAAUAUCAGUUCUUUCUGAGACACUUUUUAAAUAAAAAGAUGUAGUAAGAUUCUGCCUAGAAGAAGUAACCCACUAGCCACUAUUUACCUUUGUGUAAAUUAUUCUAUCGGUCUUUCAUCACUUACGCACUCAACACCAGAGUACUACCAAGGAUUAGUACUAUCAGGAUUAGUUCUACCAAGAGGAGGUAUGUGUCAGAGGCAGUAUGGACAUACUGCUUCCCUAAGCCUAAGACUUCUUUGAAAAAAACUACAUUCUGCUUGUCCUGACAGAGCUAAGCAAAACUUUCUAAAAGUAUGAGGCAAUUCUGUGCUAUAUCAACAGCCACCACCUCCUAUAACUGGUAUCCAAAUGGAAAAUCUGAAUAGUGAACACCUGCUUAUACUUGAAGAUGUAUCCAAAUGACAACCCUUUCCAGAAAGCCUUUAUUAAUACCGUUUCCCUUUACCUCCAAAACUGGGUAAAAGAGUAUAAAUAUUUGUUUGAUCCUUGUAACAACUGCAGGAGACAUGACACUUUUUAUUGUCACUCUAUGUAUGAGGAAAGUAGUGCAGAAAGAGAUUAAGUAACUUGCCCCAAAUUAUCCAGCCUGUCGGUAGCAGACCAGAGAAUCGUACUGAGCCAGUCUGGCUUCAGAAUCCAUGCUCACAAUGCUAUGUGAUGAUACAAGAUGCAGUCUUACUUUAAGCAGAUCGUUUACCAAAGGGAAACAAAUAUUUAUACUUGGAUUUAAUGGAACAGGUUUUUUUCAUUUUGGAGAUAGAAUAAUAACUUCGUUUAAAAAUUGAAGGUGAUAUUCUUCUCAUUUCUUGAAAACUUAUGAUUAGCCCAGAGCCAACUCUAUAAAGCUCCAGUUUGGUCAGAAGUCAUUACCUAGAAGAUAAGGAAGUUAUUAUCAGUGUAAUGUCGCUUCCCAUACUUAUUAUAUAUUUUCGAUGUAAUUAGUCCUUAGCAGUCUCUACUUACGUAGAAUAUAAUUUUAAAUUUGAAGUAGCACCCAAUAUGUAUAAUAAGUUCUAUGAAUUCUGUUUCAUAUAACGGUGGGAAAGAUUUUUUUUAAUUAAAAUGUAUUAUAUGAUAAUGUAUAGUAGUAGUUACAUAGAAAGAAACUAAAAUAUCUCAUACUAUACACCAAAGCAAAUUACAAAAGGAUUAAAUAGUUAGAUAUAAAAACAAACCAAUGAACAGGUAGAAAUUAAAACAGAAUAUUUAGGGAGUUCCCGUGGUAGUUCAGUGGUUAACUAACCCGAGAGGACACGGUUCCAUCCCUGGCCUCACUCAGUGAGUUAAGGAUCCGGUGUUGCCGUAAACUGUGGUGUGGGUCUCAGAUGUGGCUUGGAUCCUGAGUUGCUGUGGCUGUGGUGUAGGCCUGCGGCUGCAGCUCUGAUUCAACCCCUUGCCUGGGAACCUCCACAUGCCUCAGGUGCGGCAGGCCUUAAAAAAACAAAACAAAACAAAACAAAAAAAACCUGAAUAUUUAACAAACUUCUGUAGGUAAUUAAUUUUUAAAAGUAACAGAAAGGAAAAAGAUACUAACAAAUAGAUUUCUUGGUAUACUAGCUUUUUUAUAAACUUAAAAAAAAAACCUUAGAAAAUUAACUACAAUAUUCCUGUAGGUUAUAACUAUCAAAAAGCAAUUUAAAAAUAAAGAUAAUACCAACAAUUAGAGAAUAUUUAUUUAUAUAAUUGUAAAUUAUAAUUUAUAGAUUUAUCUGCAUAAAUUUAAAAACCUAUGUAUAUGAUAGAUUUUUCAAAUUAUAAAGGCUAGCAAUAGAUUUAGGGCAAGUAUAAUAAAUGUGGCAGAGUUGAUUAUUUUAAAUAAAAGUUUAAAUUAAAGUUUUAAGAAAAGUACCUUUAUACCUUUAUAGUCAGGCAAUUCACAAAAGAAAGUACAAUAAUUACGUUUUCAAGCUCAUUGGUUUUUGAAAAAAAUUUAAAGAAAAAUCAGGUCUCAUUUUUAUAUCACAUGCAAAAUAGGCAGAAAAUUGCAUUUAUGUAUAUUAAGACAACAUCAAGUAUCUCAUUGUAACUGGUGAUCUCAAAAACAUUGAAGAUUUUGGAAAUAGUUUCAACUCUUUGGACAAGAAAUCCUGUAAUCUAAGGACUGAAUUAAUUUUAAGGAAAUAUUUCUGAAUACUCUUUUUUUGUAAAAAAUGUGCACACAAGUUCAUUUCAUUAUUUAAUAAACAAAUAGUACUCUUCUAUAAAAACCUGGAAGCAACAUGGAAAUUGAUUAAGUUAUGGCACAGCAUUGAAUAGAGUAUUUCCGUUUCUAGACAGUGAUCUGGCACACUCCACAUGCUAAGAUGCAAAAUGAGCAAACACGCUCUGCGUCAUUUACCAUCAGGAUGACCUGCACAGGAGAAAGAGGGAUCCCCCUAAGAAGGAGAAAAAUUUUGAGUGCUGGACUUAUCUGUGCGUAUUUUCUUUUACUUUUCUCCCUGUGUCAGUUUUUUUCUUUACCUUUAUAACUGAAAAAUAUAGGAAUAAAUUGUCCUCUGCAUAUUUCUUAUGCUGUAAAGAUUUCCUUCUUCUUUUUCAUUUCCUAUCCUAGCAAACUGUACUAUAGCCAAAUGAAUGAAUGUGGAAUAGAUUAGUGACAUGAUCGAGUAUUUUAUGUAUCUGGGGGGGCAUUUUCUAUACCAGUUAAGGGAAAAAGUUCUUAGCAUUAUAAUUUUUUAUUAUUAGUAACAGCUCUCGCACUGAAGUAUUAACCUCAGUCAUGAUGUUCCUGUUGAUGAAAGCAUUAGCAGCGAUUUGACUGAUGGACCUAAAGAAUGCUGAGAUGUUAGAAAGUCUGAUGAGGAUAAUGAAGGAAUUAUAUUUUUGUGUGUCUGUCUUUAAAUUUUUAAUAUCUUAAAUUUUUUUUCCUGAGCUUCCUUCUCCAGGCCCCUCCCAAUGUUAGUUGUGUUCAUUCUCAACGGCAUGGUAGUUGUGAAGGCCACAGAAAUCUUUUCAAAUGUAUUUUAUGUUGUAGGCACUUCAGCAACCAUAUGUCUUCACUUUUAAAAAGCGUUUAAGCAAAGGGAAAUAAACAAAUAUGAAAUAAUAUGUAAAAAAUACAAUAAGGGAACCCUAGAAACUAAAAUUAUUUCGUUGUUAAUGAUCUUUCUUCACUGCUCACCCAUCUGAGCAUAAUAUGGCAAGUGUGUUCACCAGUUUCCUUCCUGUUAUAACUGGAUCUCUUGGCUUGUUGCAGCCUCAUUCUUCAGGAGUCUACGCUUUGAACUUCUCAGUAGGAACGUCUUGACUUCACCUCUGUAUUGAGUCAUAGGUGAUCAGGUCAUGAAGACUGACAUUUGUACUCAGGUGUCUUCAGAUCCUGUGAACAGACACACACACAAAGAGUUGUCUCUUCAGCUUCCACUGCUCUUGACCUUCUCAGUGUAUUUCAGUUGUCUUGCUCUGACGUACAGCAGGGACCAGCAAUCCAUGCUCCCUGCCCUUCUUGUUGUGCACAUCCCACAACACUACCCUUUCUCAGGUGGAGACCAGAGAGAGAUCGAUGUGCUUCCUGUGACUCCUGUUUAGCAGAGUUAGCUGAUGUAGUGGUGCCUGGGUAUUAUUACAUGCAUGCAAAGUACCAUUCUCUCUCUUUCAGAUCCUCUUUAUAAAGAAGAAUUAUAGUAGGCAAAACAACUGUACAUGUUGCCUCAACCUUUGUAUGUAAAGUUAUGAAGUGUGAGUCCUUGUAAAAACAUGAAAGUCAAUAAUGAUAAGCACCAUAUUAUUGUGUUCAACUUUGACCAAAAGCCUCUUUAGGGUCCUUCCAGUGACUGAUUACAUCGGACCCAUAGCCUUUUUCUCUGGGAUUUCUUGGAGCUUCGAAAUUCUUUGCGCUCAGUCGGGAAAUUCUUGAUGUUUUCUGUACAUCAGAUGCAAUCUUAUAUACUUUGUAUGAAAUAGAAAUUACCAGGGUAUUUUUUUCCUCAUCUGUUCAUAUUUAAAAUGUCUUACAAUGAUUUUCCAUAAAUAAGCAAUCACUGGAUAAGUAGAGAGGUGUAAAUAGCUGGAUAGAUAAGAUGAUAGGAAAAAAAUCAGGGUAGACAUUAAAGUGAGAAAGAUAAAAUGGAGAAGAAAUGGAGUUAAUAAUCAAGUCUAUAUGAGUGGCCCUGUGUCCCUAAUAAGAGAACGUUGAAAAUAAGGGUCUAAGCUGCCCAACUCAUGUACAAAUUGUAGCAAUCACAUGCAAUUAAUAAGACCUACGGGUAUAAACCAAGAGAAGCAAAGCACAGCUUUUUCUGGUAGGAAUCUCUCAGGAAAUGUCUAAUACAUCCUUAAAAAUAUACUGUGUUCUAGAACCACAUCUCUGAUAUAAAUGCAGUAGUAGGUUUCAUAGUGUAGCGCUUUAUACUGCCCUUCCCUGUUGACAGUGAUGAGAUUUUUACAUCUCAAGCAGAUCUCUGAAACUUAAAUUUAGAGCACCUAUAAAUAAAAUUUAGAAAAUCUAAAGAAAAAAGGAUUUUUCAAACCAUUCUCCUUGGCUAUUCUAUUUUCAAAUCUCUAUUUGAUCAUCACUGAGUGGCAGGCAGCAUGAGCAUACCCUCUGUACCCUCUCCAGCCUCUAGUGAAGUUUCCCCCUACUGCUAAGGCAGACCCAUGCCGUCUUAGCUUACCUGUUAAUAGAACACCUACAGGAAAGGCUGGGGCAUUUAAAAGUGUCAGGGUAUAGACUAGAACAGUCCUCAUGAGUGGAGCCGGUAUUUUGUGCAAAGAUAAUUUUGGAUCCCCUUAAAGCACGCAUUGGAGGUGCUGAAGGAGACCAGAAGAUGCAACUCACUGGGUGCUACAGGAAUUAAAGUUACAAACUCUAACAAAAAGCAGAACAGAAAUGCGGCAGUAGAGACGCAAUAACAACAGUCAGUGUCAGAGAGUUUUUGAGCCACAGUUUGACAGAGGAGCCGUGUUUUACAGGGCAAAGAAGUUCAAGAGGGUUUAAGGCUGAGUGGACUGUGCAGAAGACCCUGGGUGCUUCCAGGGCUGCUGAUAGAGAGAGUGUAUGGAGCAGCACACUGGCGCACUGGCGUAAGGCUGCAAAGGUGAACUAGGCUGAGGCCUGAGGGGAUGUUUUGAACAAAUGACUUGGGACUUAGUAGCCAGGAAGGAGGGGUUUGCAGUUUAUUUAGGGGGCAAUUGAAGGCUUUCCUAAAGGAAUAGUCACCCUAUGAGUGGAUGUUGGAGGGUAAAUUGAGUGGAAAAGGCUAGAGACGGAAGCUACUAAUUGAAGUAGGCGCCAUAAGGCAGGGUCAAGGCCCGAAACUAGGAAGAGCAGAGAAGAUGAGGGGAGAAGUGGGGAGGGAGAAUUGAGAUGAGAAAUGAUGACACUUGUUGGCCAACUAGGGAGCAAAAUGAGCGCUUAGAGACCAGGCUGAGAUUUCUAGACUCUGUGUCUCUGUGAUGCGACCCCUGAUUGUGACAGAGGAAGAUGAACAGGGACUCUAUGUAAGACACAGCUCAAAAUUUGAAUCCAACGCUCAGCAAGUGAAAUUUUAAGAACUAGAGAAUCUCUUAGCACAAGGAUCUGGAGACUCACAAGAAUGAUUAUGGAAGGACAGGUUCUCCAAGGAAUUAAUUGUGGCCUGACAAAAUCUGAGUAGGCUCCAAUGAGAGAGGACAAUAAAAUUGUACUUGGUUUCACACCUCUGUCCACAUCCUAAAUUUCUCUCUUUCCUAAAAGAUAUUAUUCUAUAGUGUAGUAAAUUAUUGUUUCAGGAGCUAUUUGACUUCAAUUUCCAGCAGGAAAAGUUAAAAACCAAAAAAAAAAAAA